GAUGAACGCUGGCGGCGUGCCUAAUACAUGCAAGUCGAGCGAACAGACGAGGAGCUUGCUCCUCUGACGUUAGCGGCGGACGGGUGAGUAACACGUGGAUAACCUACCUAUAAGACUGGGAUAACUUCGGGAAACCGGAGCUAAUACCGGAUAAUAUAUUGAACCGCAUGGUUCAAUAGUGAAAGACGGUUUUGCUGUCACUUAUAGAUGGAUCCGCGCCGCAUUAGCUAGUUGGUAAGGUAACGGCUUACCAAGGCGACGAUGCGUAGCCGACCUGAGAGGGGGAGCGGGCACAGGGGAAGGGAGAGGGGGGCGAGAGGGGUACGGGAGGGAGCAGUGGGGAAUCGGGCGCAAUGGGCGGAAGCGGGAGGGAGGAGGGGGGCGGGGGUGAGGAGGGUCGUCGGAGCGGAAGAGUGUGUUAUUGGGGAAGAAGGGAGGUGUAGGGAGCUAUGCAGGGCGUGAGGGUAGGGGGUGAGAAAGCCGCGGCUGACUAGGGG
rnacentral:rRNA from 1 species